GAUGAACGCUGGCGGCGUGCCUAAUACAUGCAAGUCGAGCGAACAGACGAGGAGCUUGCUCCUCUGACGUUAGCGGCGGACGGGUGAGUAACACGUGGAUAACCUACCUAUAAGACUGGGAUAACUCCGGGAAACCGGAGCUAAUACCGGAUAAUAUAUUGAACCGCAUGGUUCAAUAGUGAAAGACGGUUUUGCUGUCACUUAUAGAUGGAUCCGCGCCGCAUUAGCUAGUUGGUAAGGUAACGGCUUACCAAGGCAACGAUGCGUAGCCGACCUGAGAGGGUGAUCGGCCACACUGGAACUGAGACACGGUCCAGACUCCUACGGGAGGCAGCAGUAGGGAAUCUUCCGCAAUGGGCGAAAGCUUGACGGAGCAACGCCGCGUGAGUGAUGAAGGUCUUCGGAUCGUAAAACUCUGUUAUUAGGGAAGAACAAAUGUGUAAGUAACUAUGCACGUCUUGACGGUACCUAAUCAGAAAGCCACGGCUAACUACGUG
rnacentral:rRNA from 1 species